rnacentral:rRNA from 1 species
UACGUAGGGUGCGAGCGUUGUCCGGAAUUACUGGGCGUAAAGAGCUCGUAGGUGGUUUGUCGCGUUGUCCGUGAAAACUCACAGCUCAACUGUGGGCGUGCGGGCGAUACGGGCAGACUGGAGUACUGCAGGGGAGACUGGAAUUCCCGGUGUAGCGGUGAAAUGCGCAGAUAUCAGGAGGAACACCGAUUGCGAAGGCAGCUCGCUGGGACGUAACUGACGCUGAGACGCGAAAGCGUGGGGAGCGAACAGG